rnacentral:rRNA from 1 species
UGGGGAAUAUUGCGCAAUGGGGGGAACCCUGACGCAGCAACGCCGCGUGAAGGAAGAAGUAUUUCGGUAUGUAAACUUCUAUCGACAGGGAAGAAAGAAAUGACGGUACCUGAAUAAGAAGCCCCGGCUAAUUACGUGCCAGCAGCCGCGGUAAUACGUAAGGGGCAAGCGUUAUCCGGAUUUACUGGGUGUAAAGGGUGAGUAGGCGGCAUGGCAAGUCAUAUGUGAAAGACUGAGGCUUAACCUCAGAGGCGCAUAAGAAACUGCUGAGCUUGAGUGUGGGAGAGGCAAGCGGAAUUCCUAGUGUAGCGGUGAAAUGCGUAGAUAUUAGGAAGAACACCGGUGGCGAAGGCGGCUUGCUGGACCAUAACUGACGCUGAGUCACGAAAGCGUGGGGAGCGAACAGG